rnacentral:rRNA from 1 species
UACGGGGGGUCCUAGCGUUGUUCGGAAUCACUGGGCGUAAAGAGCUCGUAGGCGGUUUGUUGCGUCGGCUGUGAAAUCCCGAGGCUCAACCUCGGGUCUGCAGUCGAUACGAGCAAACUAGAGUGUUGCAGGGGAGACUGGAAUUCCUGGUGUAGCGGUGAAAUGCGCAGAUAUCAGGAGGAACACCGGUGGCGAAGGCGGGUCUCUGGGCAACAACUGACGCUGAGGAGCGAAAGCGUGGGGAGCGAACAGG